rnacentral:rRNA from 1 species
AUUGAACGCUGGCGGCAUGCUUUACACAUGCAAGUCGAACGGUAACAGGCCUUCGGAUGCUGACGAGUGGCGAACGGGUGAGUAAUGCAUCGGAACGUACCCAGAGGUGGGGGAUAACGCAGCGAAAGCUGUGCUAAUACCGCAUGUGAUCUGAGGAUGAAAGCGGGGGACCGAGCAGCAAUGUUUGGCCUCGCGCCUUUGGAGCGGCCGAUGUCGGAUUAGCUAGUUGGUGGGGUAAAGGCCUACCAAGGCGACGAUCCGUAGCUGGUCUGAGAGGACGACCAGCCACACUGGGACUGAGACACGGCCCAGACUCCUACGGGAGGCAGCAGUGGGGAAUUUUGGACAAUGGGCGCAAGCCUGAUCCAGCAAUGCCGCGUGCGGGAAGAAGGCCUUCGGGUUGUAAACCGCUUUUGGCAGGAACGAAACGGUGUCCGCUAAUACCGGGCGCUAAUGACGGUACCUGCAGAAUAAGCACCGGCUAACUACGUG